GGGGAAUAUUGGACAAUGGGGGCAACCCUGAUCCAGCAAUACCGCGUGUGUGAAGAAGGCCUUCGGGUUGUAAAGCACUUUAGGCGGGGAAGAAGAUGAUUAGUUUAAGAGAUGAGUCAUUUGACGGUACCCGCAAAAUAAGCACCGGCUAACUCUGUGCCAGCAGCCGCGGUAAUACAGAGGGUGCAAGCGUUAAUCGGAUUUACUGGGCGUAAAGGGCGCGUAGGUGGUUGUUUAAGUGAGUUGUGAAAUCCCCGGGCUUAACCUGGGAACUGCAACUUAUACUGGGCAACUGGAGUGCAAUAGAGGGUAGUGGAAUUUCCGGUGUAGCGGUGAAAUGCGUAGAUAUCGGAAGGAACACCAGUGGCGAAGGCGGCUACCUGGAUUGACACUGACACUGAGGCGCGAGAGCGUGGGGAGCAAAC
rnacentral:rRNA from 1 species